rnacentral:pre_miRNA from 1 species
UUUAGUUGUCUUAAGUCAAACUUCUCUAACUUUGACCAAGUCUAUAUAAAAAUAUAUUAACACCUGCAAUAUACCAAAUAAAUGCACUAUCAAGACAUAUUUCAAGGUGGAUCUAAUGAAACUAAUUUAUUAUUGUAGAUGUUGGUGUGUUUUUCUAUAAACUUGGUCAAUCUUAGAGAAGUUUGAUUUGGGACAAACCUAA